rnacentral:rRNA from 1 species
AGUAAAUAGAUACCCUGGUAGUCCACGCCGUAAACGAUGAGUACUAGGUGUAGGAGGUAUCGACUCCUUCUGUGCCGCAGUUAAACACAAUAAGUACUCCGCCUGGGAAGUACGGUCGCAAGAUUAAAACUCAAAGGAAUUGACGGGGGCCCGCACAAGCAGCGGAGCAUGUGGUUUAAUUUCGAAGCAACGCGAAGAACCUUACCUAGACUUGACAUCUCCUGAAUAAGUGUAGAGAUACAUGAAGCCCUUCGGGGUCGAGGAAGACAGGUGGUGCAUGGUUGUCGUCAGCUCGUGUCGUGAGAUGUUGGGUUAAGUACCCGCAACGAGCGCAACCCUUACUUACUAGUUGCUACCACUUAAGUUAGAGCACUCUAGUGAGACUGCCCGGGUUAACCC